UUGUAGCAAGUAAAGUUCUUGAAGACAUUUGUGUCAUAAGGUCUAGUUCUGAGGAUGGGUUCCAUGAGAAAUCGAAGAAAUUCCUCAAAUCUUAUAGGCAUACAAUACAUACAGUAAUGUUUGGAUUCUCGUCAACAUAUCAAGCAUUUUUAUUUAAACAAGUUAGUGAUAUUGACCAGAACGGAACUCUUCAACGCGCGCUAGGUUCAGCUAGGUUCUUAGGAAACAUUUGUGUCAAGGUCCAGUUCUGAUGAUGGAUUCAAUGAGGAAUUGAGGAUUUUAAAUCGAUUUGAAUUCACAAUUAGGAGGAAUUGAGGAUUUUCGUCAACAUAUCAAGUUUUUUUUAUUUGAACAAGUGACAUUUGAUGAAGUGAAACUGCUGAUAUUACUGAAACUAUGCUGAUACUGCUGAAAUGGAACUCUUCAACGACAAGUAUUUUACCUUAGGCGUUUUUUUUUUUUUUUUCGUUUAUAGCAUGUAAGGCUUUUAAGGAACAUUUGUGUCAAGGUCCAGUUCUGAUGAUAGGUUCUACGAGAAACUGAAGGAGCUUCUCAUAUUGUAUAGGAUAGGCAUACAUAUAGUCAUUUUAGGAUUUUCAUCAAUAUUACAAGCAUUUUUACUCAAUAAAGUGACAUUUGUUGAAGUAGAAUUGCUGAUGAAGAACGGAACACCUCAACGACUUCCAGAUUCUUUAUUUUUAUUACUCUUCUUCCUUUUUCAUUAUUCUUAGAACAGGUAUUUCUACGAAGUGAACCGAACUGCUACUAUUAAAAGUAGCUAGGUAGGUAGGUUAAAUAGGUUAAAACUGUAAGGAUUAUUAUGUAUAAGUAGUUUCUUUUAAUUAAACAUAGGUAAGUAAUUCUAUUUAAGUAUAAGUAUCUUUAAAAAAACAUCAAUCGACUCUUAUCUGUCACUAGUUCCAGUUUCAGAGUAUAAAAUCCGGGUACACAGCCACGGCUAGCCGGGUAGCCAGACAGUUCGAAUACGGAUACGGACAAGUUAUUGUGAAUAAAAAAAUCUUAUCGUCUUGCAAAAGUUAAUGUCAUAAAUGUAUAGGUUUCGAAUACAUGAAUAUAAAGUGAAAAUGCUGGUAAAAGUAUUAGUUUUUAUCAUUAACCAUUUUAUAUCCCAACAAAACUGUUACCCUUACAAAAAUAAAAUGCAAUAAUCAAAGCUUGUACUAUGGGUACUAGGCGACGUUAAACAUACUUAUUUAGAUAAAUAUAUAUUUACGUAUAUACAUAGAAAACACGCAAGCCUUAGGAACAAAUAUCUGUAUUCAUCACACAAAGAAAUGCCCUUACGCGAUUCAAACUCGGGACCAUCGGCUUCAUAGGCAGGGUCACUACCCACUAGGCCAAACCGGUCGGCAAAAGGUAAAGAUAAUUAGGUAAAGACAAUGAAUAAUUAAACGUAUUAUAAAUUGACACCAAUAUCCAUCAAAUAGUAUAACUAGGUAUGCUAAGAGUGGGCUUCAGGCCAUUACGUCGCACCUUUAGAAUUAAAUUAAUUUGACUCAAAAAGUACGACUACUUUAUAUAAUAUAUAAAUGUUACUACCAAACUACAUAUUAUGUAGUUUGGUAGAACAGUAAGAACUCACUAUAUGUGUCUCUUUUUCAUGCGGUGAAAUCCCCCCCACCCGGAAAGGAUAGCGACGCCCAUUUUAUCGACUCUCGAGUCGACUCCAAUCUGAUACUAAUAAAACCAUACGGAAAUAAUGAGGAUGCAUCGACAUAAGAAGAAUCGAACAUGGGCAAGAUAAAGUUCAAGAAAAAAGCAAAUAUAAUGUGUACUUGUGUGUAGUCAAAGAAAGUUGAAAAAUAAAGCAUAAUUAAUGGCCAUAGAAUACAGAACCGAUACACGAACAUUAAGACUAUUAAAAAUAGACAUAUAGGUUGAUCGUACUACUCGUACUAAUGUAUAUCUUUUGUUCAAUUAUAUUAUUGCAUUAAAGUUAGAUUCUCUAGAUAUAUAUUAUUCAUAGGUUCUGUAUUCUAUACGACUUGUUUCAGUGUAAUUAUUGUACUAAAUACCGUUGACCGCCUGUCAACAGUAUUUAUUUCUACAUUACUAUCACAGAAGAUUUUAGGCCCUACCGUACAGUUUUUGAAUUAGUAUUUACUAUGGACAAAUAUAGCGAAAUGUGAGUUUUUACCUAAAAUAUCAAUCUUUUGUGAACGUGGUGUAGAGUAUAUACCGCCUAAGACUAAGUAGCUACGCGGGUUACGUUUUAAAAAUAGAAUCGUGUUCAUGGUCGGCCCAUGGUAAAAAUAAUUAGGUACCCGUAGACCCGCUGGUGAACACUGUUUAUGAUAACACUUAAAAUAAACCCCGUGGACCCACCAGGAGAACAUAUGGGAGAGACUAGAGAUAAUACACCGCUUUAAGGGCGGUCGCACUCGGCAUUGACAUCUGGCGUCUAGAUGGCGGGUGGACCUCAGCGAAUUUCAAAGAAAUAUUUAUAAACAUCCAAUGACGUUCGGCUCGGACACCAGAUCUUCAAUCUCCUGAUUCCUGUGGAGUCUCCAGGUUCCAUCCUCUCCACGUGUGAGUCCUAGGAUUUUUCGCGCUGCCAGACUCCGAUGACUCGGGCACGUAGUCCAGAUGGGUGAGGAUCGUGCAGCCUGGAGGGCGUACUCUGAAGUUCCAAAUGGCCGAAGACCGUCUAGACGUCCUAGGUAGGUCCCGCUGGAGAGACGAAAUGCAAAAAGACCUUAGCGAACUCGGCGCCGUCGACUAGAUGGAAACGGUUUUGGACAGAGAAGCAUGGCGGUCUUUGGUGUCGGAGGCCAAGAUCCACUUCGGGUCGCUGCGCCAUAGCAGUAAGUAUUUAUAAACAUACUGUACCUUCUGUGUAGCUAACCCAAAACGAGAUAUUUAAGAAAAAGUCCACCCGCCAUUCUGACGUCAGGAUUGCGGUUGGACCUAUGAAAUCUUGCAUUAUACCGCACUAAAAGUAUGCAGUUAUAUGGUACAGUCGCCAUCAGAUAUAUCGGAGUGGCCGAGGUGCUCAAAGAUCUCUAAACACGCACUCUAACCUCUUGACAGUAGAGGCAUGUUCAGAUAUUCGUGGGUACCUUGGCCGCUCCGAUAUAUAUGAUGGUGACUGUACCUUCAGUGUACCUCUGUAAAUAGAAAUAGAAACCGGUGUACCUCUCCCCAAAACAAGCUAGGCUAAGCUCAUGCACAAUAUAACUGCAUACUUUUAGUGCGGUAUAAUGCAAGAUUUCAUAGGUCCACCCGCCAUCCUGACGUCAGGUUGGCGGGUGGACCGUUUUGUAAAAUAUCUCGUUUCGGGGAAAGGUACACUGGUUUCUAUUAAAGGUACACUGAGGUACACAGAAGGUACAAUAUGUUUAUAAAUAUUUCUUUGAAAUUCGCUGAGGUCCACCGCCAUCCUGACGCUUACCAUAUAUCUAAGGACCGACCUUAGGGGCAAUAACGAUAGUGCUAGUUCAGUUGUGUCAUUCACAAAUUCGAGCCAAUCGUGCUGUCUAACGCAACUAGAUGCGAUCAAUCGCGUGCGUAAUGCGAACUCAUCAACCAAUCACGUUGUGGUAGUGGUACUUGUGGCGUUAGACUGCACGAUUGGCUCAAACUCGUGUGCGUAACACCGCUGUACUGGCCCCAAUCUUAUUGCCCGUAAGGCCCGUCCUCAGAUAUAUUAUGUCAAUGACACAGUCGCGAUUUUAAAAAAUCACAUCGCUUCUGCUACCAAGUUGUUGAGCAUAACGUUUUCCUAUCCACAGGUUCCAUCUGUCCAGUAGGAUCCACCAUCUCGAUCCACCAGAUUGAAGAGAUUGUUACUUAACUGAUGGAUCGAGAUAAUGAAACCUACUGAAUAGAGCGGGUCGAUUGGAUAUAACAAAGUACGCUUAUAUGAAACGCUACUCCGGUGUGCGAGUGAGACAGUCAGGCCAAUUUGAACUUGCAUUUGACAGAAAACUGUCUCCAUCAAACGCUACCAGUUCCAUUGCCGGCCUCUUCGCUGCCUUCUAUAGUGGUUCAAUCUUACCUUGCUUAUGAAUAAAAAGGGGCGUGCACACCGAUAUUAGAGUAAUAUUGGAAUCAUAUCAGUUAGUUGCGGGCGUCUCGCUCGCACAAAUACAUGCGUAUAAGUGCGAAAUGAACGCACGAAUGACAGCUAACUGGUAUCAUUCCAAUAUUAUUCUAAAAUUGGUUUAAUGUCAGUUGCACUUUCGAAUUGGCCUACAUAGCGAUUUCCUUAGCCUGCACACCGGAUCGGCGUGUGGGCCGGCAUCUAGCUAAUGUAAAGCCACCUCAUUAGGUGCUUUUAGCCUUUUGAACGGCAAGAACACCUAAAGAUGUGGUGAGAGAAAGCCGCGCGUCCCUCAUGCACUGCACUAGCUUUACAGCUUGCAUUGCGACCAAUGUAUGCCGCUCACCGCCCCGCCGGUCGCGUGGGUCCAAUCCGCGGCCCUAGAAGACGUACUUUACAUAUAAACAAGAGCACGCGAGCAUAUUGCGAGUUGUGUAUGUGUACUUGUGUUAUCUAGGCGCACAAACGGUUACAAUAACAAGAAGUGUACACCGCGUGUGCAGUCCAACACGGGAGCACGGGUGCGAUUCGAAAAUAACGCGCUAGCGACGCAUUACGACAUUGAUACUUUACCAUUUGAACGCCAUAAACAAAAACGUUACUCACACGCCAAGGUCACGGGCGCAAGUGAGCUUGAAAGUGCAUGAGUAUUACAUUAGGGACUUUGACAGCGAUUAUAACAGCUAUAAUCAUUAAUGUGUUCAUGGCCCUUAAAUCAUGUCUAGUGACGGCGCCUUUAGGUGUUCUUGACGUUCAAAAGGUUAAGGGCGUUUGCUAGCUGGCGCUAGUGCACGGAGCGAGCAAACACGCGCAGGUGCCUUUGUAAGUAAAAUCAGUCGCACGCGUCCGCGCCAGUUAGCGUUGCUGAUACUGUAAGCCGCACGCCCGCUCCAUGCACACGCGAGACGUUGCGGACGCCCUAUGCCCUAAACCUUACUUGAAAGUGUGAAGGUUACUCUGACAGCGGAUAUAUCAGCUAUAAUGUAUUUAUGACGCUUUGAGCAUAGCUAGUUAAGACGCCUUAAGGUAUUCUUGGCGUUUAAAAGGUUAAGGGCGUUUGCUAGCUGGCGCGAGUGCACGGAGCGGGUGCACGCGCGCGGGUGCCUUUGUAGGUAAAAUUCGUCGCACGCGUCCGCGCCAGUUAGCGUCGCCAGUUACUGUUUUUCGUUAACCCGCUCCAGCUAGCAAACUAAUCGCAAAUGGUCCGAGAUUGGCGCAAUAACCAUGCAUUACCUUAUCUGGAUCUGGAUGCACCUAUUCACCAAUGCUUGCUUUAAAGUAACUUGUCGACUCGUCCUGAUAAUAUUUGUGCGACCGUGAAGAAAAUCUAUGCCGUCACUUAUUUUUCAAUUUAUAUGAAAUAAAGAUGUUAAAUGUAUUCAAAAGUUUUUAUUUAAUAAGGUAUGUAUAAGUGCUCUGUGCAUCCGCACCAGCUAGCGGUGCCCUUAGCAAACCAAUCGCAAAUGGUCCGAGAUUGGCGCAAUAACCAUGCAUUCUCUUAUCUGGAUCUGGAUGCACCUAUUCACUAGAAAAUGUAUGCCGUCAGUUAUUUUUCAAUUUAUAUGAAAUAAAGGUGUUAAAGGUA